GACGAACCGUCCUAACGUUAUUCGGAAUCACUGGGCUUAAAGGGCGCGUAGGCGGGACCGUAAGUCAGGGGUGAAAUCCCACGGCUCAACCGUGGAAGUGCCCUUGAUACUGCGGACCUCGAGGUGGGCAGGGGCGUGCGGAACUUCCGGUGGAGCGGUGAAAUGCGUAGAUAUCGGAAGGAACACCGGUGGCGAAAGCGGCACGCUGGGCCCGUACUGACGCUGAGGCGCGAAAGCCAGGGUAGCAAACGGGAUUAGAUACCCCGGUAGUCCUGGCCCUAAACGAUGGGCACUAGGUAGCGGACUUACAUGGGUUCGCUGCCGGAGCAAAAGUAUUAAGUGCCCCGCCUGGGGAGUAUGGUCGCAAGGCUGAA
rnacentral:rRNA from 1 species